GUCUAUGGCCAUGCCACCCUGAACAUGGAAAUCUCAUCUGAUCUCGAAAGCUAAGCAGGGUCAGCCUGGUUACUAACUUGGAUGGAGUAGACU
rnacentral:rRNA from 1 species